AGGCAUUUACAGGAUGCAAUAGAAUUCACGAAAUAAUACAGAAAACAUCAGUUGUAGAGUCCUUGAAAAUGAGUCCGUCGGUUGUGGAAUCAGUUCAGCGUUGAGGUCUUCUUUUGCCAAAAUGUAGUAUUAUUUCAUGAAGGAAGCACACUUGGCCCAGACUUUGCUACAAUCAUUUGUCUUGGCAAAUGGAACUCCCAUGAGAUCACCAGCAUGGUAUGAACCUGGGGCAAUGACUGACUGGUCUUGCACUGAAGACUGAUAGAAACUUCCGUCAACUUUAUCUAGGCGUUUUUAAGUGGCCCAGAAAGUCAUAACUACAACUACUCUGAUCCUGAGAAAUUAAUUUUAACAUGUGAAGGUAUUGUACACCCUCGGUGAAUGCCUCGAAACAGCAGUAAAUUCUCAGCUCAUCUAUAUCAUCUAAUAAACCAGUGUCUUCUCAUCUCUGCUGUUGGAGGUCCGUGUAAAUCUGGAAGUUGUGGCCCACAGAUCACACCCAUUUUCAGUGAGGCCAGGGGUUUGUGAAGUCCUGAGGGCAAAGGUGAAGGGUGAAUUCCAGAGCUUGGUGAAUCUGAAGGUGAAAGAUCCGAAGGACAAAGCCCCAGGGUUGGCAAGUCCAGAUGUCAGAGGGCUGAUGUCUGUGAGUCUGGGCCAGGGACUGGAGAUUGGAGGCCUGAUGUCUGCAAGAAUCAGAGUCCAGGGCCAAGGACUAUGGACUAUUGCUGUCUGUGGGUAUA